UUUUCCUACGGGAGGCAGCAGUCGAGAAUCAUUCGCAAUGGGGGAAACCCUGAUGGUGCGACGCCGCGUGGGGGAAUGAAGGUCUUCGGAUUGUAAACCCCUGUCAUGUGGGAGCAAGUUAAAAAGAUAGUACCACAAGAGGAAGAGACGGCUAACUCUGUGCAAGCAGCCGCGGUAAUACAGAGGACUCAAGCGUUGUUCGGAAUCACUGGGCGUAAAGCGUGCGUAGGCUGUUUCGUAAGUCGUGUGUGAAAGGCGCGGGCUCAAACCGCGGACGGCACAUGAUACUGCGAGACUAGAGGAAU
rnacentral:rRNA from 1 species